GAUGAACGCUGGCGGCGUGCCUAAUACAUGCAAGUCGAGCGAACAGACGAGGAGCUUGCUCCUCUGACGUUAGCGGCGGACGGGUGAGUAACACGUGGAUAACCUACCUAUAAGACUGGGAUAACUUCGGGAAACCGGAGCUAAUACCGGAUAAUAUAUUGAACCGCAUGGUUCAAUAGUGAAAGACGGUUUUGCUGUCACUUAUAGAUGGAUCCGCGCCGCAUUAGCUAGUUGGUAAGGUAACGGCUUACCAAGGCGACGAUGCGUAGCCGACCUGAGAGGGUGAUCGGCCACACUGGAACUGAGACACGGUCCAGACUCCUACGGGAGGCAGCAGUAGGGAAUCUUCCGCAAUGGGCGAAAGCUUGACGGAGCAACGCCGCGUGAGUGAUGAAGGUCUUCGGAUCGUAAAACUCUGUUAUUAGGGAAGAACAAAUGUGUAAGUAACUAUGCACGUCUUGACGGUACCGAAUCAGAAAGCCACGGCUAACUACGUG
rnacentral:rRNA from 1 species